rnacentral:rRNA from 1 species
GUCUCACGAACCUUCGGGUUAGCGGUUGACGGGUGAGUAACGCGUGGGAACGUACCCUCUUCUGCGGGAUAGCCACUGGAAACGGUGAGUAAUACCGCAUACGCCCUUUGGGGGAAAGAUUUAUCGGAGGAGGAUCGGCCCGCGUUGGAUUAGGUAGUUGGUGGGGUAAUGGCCUACCAAGCCUACGAUCCAUAGCUGGUUUUAGAGGAUGAUCAGCCACACUGGGACUGAGACACGGCCCAGACUCCUACGGGAGGCAGCAGUGGGGAAUCUUAGACAAUGGGCGCAAGCCUGAUCUAGCCAUGCCGCGUGAGUGACGAAGGCCUUAGGGUCGUAAAGCUCUUUCGCCAGAGAUGAUAAUGACAGUAUCUGGUAAAGAAACCCCGGCUAACUCCGUGCCAGCAGCCGCGGUAAUACGGAGGGGGUUAGCGUUGUUCGGAAUUACUGGGCGUAAAGCGCACGUAGGCGGAUUGGAAAGUUGGGGGUGAAAUCCCAGGGCUCAACCCUGGAACGGCCUCCAAAACUCCCAGUCUAGAGUUCGAGAGAGGUGAGUGGAAUUCCGAGUGUAGAGGUGAAAUUCGUAGAUAUUCGGAGGAACACCAGUGGCGAAGGCGGCUCACUGGCUCGAUACUGACGCUGAGGU